rnacentral:tRNA from 2 species
CAUCAAAUGGCUGAGUUAAGCAUCAACUUCUUAAGUUGAAUACAGAAUUUUUUCUUUUGAUGA